rnacentral:rRNA from 1 species
GGGUGAGUAACGCGUAAUCAACCUGCCCUACGGAUGGGGACAACAGUUGGAAACGACUGCUAAUACCGCAUACGAUCCAAUCUCGGCAUCGAGACUGGAUGAAAGGUGGCCUCUAUUUAUAAGCUAUCACUGAAGGAGGGGAUUGCGUCUGAUUAGCUAGUUGGAGGGGUAACGGCCCACCAAGGCGGUGAUCAGUAGCCGGUCUGAGAGGAUGAACGGCCACAUUGGGACUGAGACACGGCCCAGACUCC